rnacentral:misc_RNA from 1 species
GCAAGCUGGAGGGCGGUUUCCUUUAGCUCAGCGGUGCAUCUAUAAUGGCGUGAUAGAUGCAUUAACGCGAAUGUCGAAGCGGGAAGGAAUCGCCAGCUUAUGGCGCGGCUCAUCCCUGAAGAUGAAUCGUGUGAUGAUCAUGACGGCAUCUCAACUGGCGUUGUAUGACGAGAUCGAAGAGGAGAUUUUGGAGAAGGGCGUGCUAAGGGACGAGCUAAGGAUGCAAGUGACGGCGGGCUUCACGGCAGGAUUUGUGGCGGCGGUAGUGUCAAAUCCGAUAGAUGUGACAAAGACAAGGGUGA